AUUAAUCAUUUAGUUUGGCCCCAUCUGUUACGGCAUAAACAUGAAAGUCAGAAUUUUAUAUUUAAUUUUAUUUGCAAUAAUAAGUAUCAAAUGUCUGAGAGGCCAAGAAAUGGCAUUCACAAUGAAUUCAACAGAUAAUAUACAAAGCUUUUUAUUGCUGCAAGCUCCAGUAAGAUAUUCUCCCUGUGGAUACAAACACAAUGGCCAACCAAUACCAUGUCGUGGUGGAUGAACUUUUUGUUCUUUUCAAUACUAUAUUAUAUAGUUAGAUAUUAAGUUUUGGGUUUUAAUAAUUAACGAAUUUGAAAUAAAACCAGAAAUUUUUAAAGAAUA